GAGUUUGGAGAUUUCCCCGGGCGUGAGAGCGCGGACUGGAAGCUGGGUGUUCAAAGGGUGUGAGAAGGGACCAAGACCCGCAUCUUCUGGGCAAAGUUUUCGGGGAGAUGGAAGGAGAGAGGGUCGGGACUGAGUUGCUGGUCUUGGGGACAGAGCAGCCGGAGCUGCGCACCAAGGCUUAGAGUCGGGCGGGAGAUGCGGGGAGAGGGAGGGGGCGGGGAGGGAGGGGAGGGAGAGAGGAGGAAGGGGUGAGAGGGAGAAACCUGCCGCGGCUCUCCGCCUCUUUGUCUGCUCUGGGACUUGGAACAAAAGGGGAAACUCUGAUGAACUCCUUCUCCAGCUCCCUGGACGCCCGAGUAUCUCUUUCUCGCAACUUUGUCAACGCGACUUUCUCCGCUGUCAGGCUGCGCAAAAGUAUCCUAGCGCCUCGCAGGCUGCAACAAUGGAAACAAUGUCCCUUCAAAGUGCGACGAAGUGGAGGGAGAAGGUGUCAUACCAGCGACUCCAAGAGUCAUGUCACCCACUUAGCAGGAGUACUUCUACUGAAAUGCCUUCGAAUUUCUCUUACUGGAUAUAUACCUACCAGCCGCUAGCAUGAAGAUGCCAGGACCGCUGCAAGUUAGCACUGGACAAAGUAGCAUCAACUUCUUCAUUUAGAGUUUCUUCAGUUAAAUUGCUGGGAUUUUCGACAAGGCUUUCCUUAUGUGGAUUAUUGGAGUGUGAUGCCCGAGAAUUCUCUACUUGUAGAAGCACGCCCACGGGACUGCAGAAGCCUUCACACCCACCCAGCACGCUCAGAUCAUCCAGUAACCAACCCAGGAAGUUCUUGUAAGCAUGCAUUUCUUAGUCAACACUGAAUGCCUUUAGACCGAGGUCAACCUUUUCAGCUGGUACCGUGGUUUACACUGCUGAAAGUACUGUCUUCAACCUUACCAAUGUCAGUGGCGGCGACGGUGGCGUCACCAUCACCAUCAGAGAAAAAGAAAUAUGCCUUUAUGUCAUGGGUUGAUGGCCUAACACUGGCUUAACACUCAUGUCGGCUGCACUAAUUGAAGUCACAUCCAAGUGGGUCAAUGCACUGAACAUAUCUGAUAUAGAAGGUCCCAGAUCCUGAAUUUUUAUCAAUGGUUUGCUGUAUAAGGCUUGCCUCCCAAAUAGCUGAGGACCCUUAUUUGGGAAGAUACGUUCUGAUGGUUAAGCAACAGCACAGAUGUCGAUGGGAAUGAGUGAUGGCCAUCCAGUGACCAGCUGGAUCUGACUGCCUUACAAGACGCAUGUGUAUGAUUAAGAGAGAGACAUUCGUGACUCCCAGAUGUACCUCCUUCCUGUCCCACAGUGUUCCUGAAGGGAGUGAGUUAUGGGGUAACUUAUAACACAGCAGGCUCUUCCUCAAGAUAGCUCUUGUCAAAACAGGAAGACGAAACUCGGGUUUCCAUGAGGAGACCACAGCUUGGGAUCCUGUCUGGAUGUACAAGCAGAAGCAUCUUCAUACUUUUCCAUUUCUAACCAUCAUGCCUCACCCCACCCUCCCAAGGCGACAUCUGCAGAGAGGUGGAACCAUCUAGGGAGGCCUGCCACUGUUUGCUGAGCUCCGGGUGAGGAUGAAGACACUUUGACAUGGCCAGCUUCAGACUCGGGAUCUGUCGGUGUUAGCAGCCGAAGGAGAAUGAGGAGGAAGAGGAGGAGAAAGAGGAGGAGGAAGUAAGACAGAGGGGGACAAGAGGACCAAGAGGGCACAUGGCUGAGGAGGAGGAGAACAACAACAACAACAACAACAACAACAACAACAAGAAGCUUGGUGGUGAAACUUGGAAGCCCUCUCCAGGAUGCAGCAGGUAGCUGAGGAGAAAACGAAGACUGACCAGCCCAGAGCUCAGAGCUUCCUCCCAUGCUCAGGAUUUACCACCAAUGCCAUUACAUCGGCCUCUUCUUGUAUGCCUCUGGAAACCACAUGUGUCCUCUGUUUGUAAUGGUUUGGCUAUGGUUGCUGGCCCCUCUUGGACAUUGUUUUCAGAACUUAAAGAAACAUUGCUUUAAAGAUUUAUUAGAACAUAUUUAAAAUAAAACCAUCUUCUCAUUUAGUAUGCAA
rnacentral:lncRNA from 1 species